UCCAGAGUUUCCAAGAUCUGGGGGAAAAAAACGAGCCCACAGAAAAAUGGGACUGAUUAGUACUACUCAACUUUUGCUUAUACACUUGGACUUGCAAGAAGAAUGAUAUAUUUUAGGGCAGGGCAACCUGAUACUGUUGUUCCUACAGUUAGCUACAAUGCAGAAGGAGUACUUGUGGCACCUUAGAGAC